ensembl:snoRNA U3 Small nucleolar RNA U3
AGGACUAUACUUUCAAGGCUCAUUUCUGUAGUUGGUCGCUAGAAGAGAGUGAUCGCACCUGUAUGGCAUCACAAGCCAUGAGGAGGAGCGGGGUGCUCUCCCCUGAGCGUGAAGCUGGCCAGCAGUGCUGCCUGGGCAGGAGCCAUUGACCCUUCCGCCCCUCCGGGGGCCGGGAGGGAGAAAGCACGGGCUGAGCAGU